rnacentral:lncRNA from 1 species
AGGUCCCCCUAAAAUAGCAACGAAGUCAUAGUAGGCGGGUGAAACAUUGAUCAGGUAACUUGGCCUCCCUUAUCCGCGGGCGCGGGGAGGCCUCAUGUCAAGAAUACAGAGCUGAUAUCGAGUGUCUGGUAUUCUACACAUAACAGGUAUAGGUCAGAGAGGGUGAAGUAGACGCUUGACUCCCGACCCAAAGGGCGACCCUUGUGUCUGAUCCGUAUUGACUGAUAUACUUAUUUCAUGACUCGAUGUACAUUUUGCAGGGAUUACUUUCCACAAGACCACAGAGAGCAAUGGGGUAGACGGUAACUUUUAUAAGUUUAUCUUACAACACUGUGUAAGACUAUUUUUGCGAAAGUAACUGCAUUUCUCUUCAAUGCAUGUCAAACGUACCGAGAAAAUAAUAACGAUGAAGUUUCUCAAGAUUGUUUGACUGCUGGAGGAAAAAAGGAGUACAGAAAGAUGGAGAAGAGACGAUGCUGAGAGAGGGAGGUUCGGCGCACAAUGGGAGUUGAAAAACAAUGAAAACAAUGGCCGAGGAUGAAUGACGAAGGUGGAGUUUUCUCGAAGUUAAAAACGCUGGAAGAAAUAACAGCAAGGCUUGAACUCAAGUGUCUAUUGUGGACGCAAAAGACAGUGCUAGAUCCUGCGACGAAGCCCACAGGAGAGGUACGGGGAUUCAGAAGAUGUGGAAAAAAUCUUGGAAGUUUAUUGAAUUCUUCAGAAGAUUAUCAGAGGAAUGUUUCAGUAUGCGACGAAAGUGAAUAAGAGCUUAGAAGGAUCCUUAAAAGUUGUCAAAAUUCAAAACAAGGCUUCCCUCAUGUCUCAGCGAUGGCAAUGAAUCCCACGGCGACCUUUUGUGCCCUGUGUACGAAGGAUUUCCCGAAUUCGAAGCUGCGGAACCCAAAGUUGAACUUCCCGAUUGCCAACCAUCCGAAUGACG